rnacentral:misc_RNA from 1 species
UCAAACUUGGUCAUUUAGAGGAAGUAAAAGUCGUAACAAGGUUUCCGUAGGUAAGUGGAAGCUAUCUAUCUUACACCCCUCUAUGCUUGAAUAACGUGCUGAUUUUACUUUAGGUGAACCUGCGGAAGGAUCAUUAACGAGUGCGACCCUCCGUAAAAAAGGGGGUUACCUCCCGUCCUUUGUUGGGCAUCCCUUUCAAUUGGAAGGGGUUGUCUUUCAUACCUUCUGCUUCGGCGGGGUUACCUGCCGGAACAACCUCAAAAAAUUCUCUGUCAAAACUGUUCAGUCCGAGAACUUUUGAAAAGCGAAAAAAAACUUUCAACAACGGAUCUCUUGGUUCUGGCAUCGAUGAAGAACGCAGC